UCGGGAAUAUUGCACAAUGGGCGAAAGCCUGAUGCAGCAACGCCGCGUGAGCGAAGAAGGCCUUCGGGUUGUAAAGCUCUGUUGUCCGUGAAGAAGUGGCAGGUCAGGAAAUGGGCCUGUCUUGACGGUAGCGGACGAGGAAGCCCCGGCUAACUACGUGCCAGCAGCCGCGGUAAUACGUAGGGGGCGAGCGUUGUCCGGAUUUAUUGGGCGUAAAGGGCGUGUAGGCGGCUUGGCAAGUCAGAGGUGAAAACCAUGGGCUCAACCCGUGGCCUGCCUCUGAAACUGCGGAGCUUGAGUGCUCUAGAGGGCAGUGGAAUUCCCGGUGUAGCAGUGAAAUGCGUAGAGAUCGGGAGGAACACCAGUGGCGAAGGCGGCUGCCUGGGGAGUAACUGACGCUGAGGCGCGAAAGCUGGGGGAGCAAACAGG
rnacentral:rRNA from 1 species